CCGGGAACGGCAGGGUGACGAUGUCGACGGCCCUGGGGCGGUCGUCCAUGCGUACCCGGAAUGCUGUGUCGUGGGUCUCGACCACGCCGCCGGC
rnacentral:tRNA from 1 species